rnacentral:lncRNA from 13 species
AUGAGUUCACUAAACUACUCCUCCCCUGCUAAAGAAGAGGAGGCCUGCUGUAUGCAGAAUGAAGCUUUGGGACUGAACAUUGUCGUGAAAGAAGAAGAUGAUGUUAUUGAGGAAACAGAGGAAGAACCUUUUAGAGAGGAAGAGGAUGCUAUCGCAGUAGAGGUGAAGAAGGAAGACGUUUUGAGAGUGAAAGAGGAGGAGACAGAAUAUCAGAUUAACACCAGAGAGAGACAUGACUAUUAUGGAUCCUCUGGGGAGCCUCAACAACAUCCUGAUGCUGACGAGGCAGAGAAGAGUCUCUCCAGAUCAGAACACCAGAUGGACAACGCUAGCCCUUCCUCCCUCCCGGAGUCCCCGUGUCGUGCCUCUCCCGGUAGCACCUUACUGCUGGGUAUGAAGAGGUUGUCUGUGCUGCUGGUGGACUGCAGGAAAACAACGGGGCUGAGUGGAACUGUGAGAGGAGGAGAAGAGAAGAAAGGAUCAGAUUUGACUCAUCAAAGUAAGUGCUGUAGUUUAGUUGAACAAAUACAAUAGAUCUGCCCACUGGUAUCUGUUACCAGGACAACCAGCAGAGUUCUGUUAGUUGACAGGAAGAUAGACUGGUGGAUAUGGAUGUUAUGAAUAUCAUAACACUGAAAAAGGAUUCUGCCAAUGAAAAGAGAGAAACCAAUAGACCAUAUAAAACCUUGAUGAAAGUUAGCUUUAGAGAGAACGAAAACAUGUUUCCUAAAAACAUUAUCGAUGUUACAUUGCCUGUCCCAGUCAAUCCCCCUUCUUUACACGAGUCUAGAACAGGCAAACAAAACUCAAGACACUUCAAUGUGGUCUGUAUUGCUUCAUUAACAUCUGAUCUACAGGACUUGUUAAACAUGGCAAAUAUAUAUUUUAAAACCAGCUUCUUUUUUUUGUCUUGGCCUCCGUCUCUGUAAUGGACAAAAUUAAUGAAUUUCCUUCUAACAGGUCAAAUGAAGCCUGAACUCCAACAUACAGACUUUAAAGAACAUGGUUUAAUAUAUAUAUACUAUAUAGACCUUAAAGAACAUGGUUUAAUAUAUAUAUAUAUAUAUAUAUAUAUAUA